UUGACCUCAAAUCGGGUGAGACUACCCGCUGAACUUAAGCAUAUCAAUAAGCGGAGGAAAAGAAACUAACAAGGGAUUCCCCUAGUAACUGCGAGU
rnacentral:rRNA from 1 species